CGUCACGGUACCAUCGAUACAAGCCUUCUCGUCGCCUCUGUCAAUGAGCAGGUAUCUGGGGCUCUCCGGAAACCACGGCAGGCUGGUUUGGCGUGCAGAGCUUACCUGAGCCCAACCACCUGACCCAGCACAACACCAAACGCUGUGAAGACGGCGGAGGACAGGGAGGCGGCCCCUCUGAAGCGCUUUGGGGCACUCUCUCCAAAGUACAUGGGCUGUACAUUCAUGCUGAUCCCUUCAACACAACAAGGAGAACUGAAAACCAACAGGAGUUUCUCUGCUAUGAUUCUGAAGGACCCGGAGAACGCCGACAUAACUCACCUGCAUUUAUGCCAGUCAGAACGCGAGAGAGGAUGAUCAUCUCAAAGGACUUGGCGGCUCUACUAGUCAGUGCCAAGAGAGCCGCCGACAUGAGAAAAAGACAUGUGCACACAUCCACGUGAAAGGAGAAGGUAAAUGAACAAUCUCCAUUCAUUUGUGCCUCCCUGCAGUGACAGGUUUAUCAUUCACCGUCUCUCCUGC